rnacentral:rRNA from 1 species
GAGGGGCAGCAUGGCUAAACCUAGUUUGGCUGAUGGCGACCGGCGCACGGGUGAGUAACGCGUACGCAACCUACCUCUGAGAGGGGAAUAGCCCUGGGAAACUGGGAUUAAUGCCCCAUAGUCCGGACUGUCCGCAGUGGGCUGGUCUGGUAAAGCUGAGGUGCUUAGAGAUGGGCGUGCGUCUGAUUAGCUGGUUGGUGAGGUAACGGCUCACCAAGGCGAUGAUCAGGUAGGGGCGUGAGAGCGUGACCCCCCACACGGGUACUGAGACACGGACCCGACUCCUACGGGAGGCAGCAGUAAGGAAUAUUGGACAAUGGGCGCAAGCCUGAUCCAGCCAUCCCGCGUGCAGGAUGACGGCCCUAUGGGUUGUAAACUGCUUUUAUAAAGGAAGAACUCCCUGGAUUUAUCUGGGGCUGACGGUACUUUACGAAUAAGCACCGGCUAACUCCGUG